GAGCGCUGAGUUGCUGAUCGGAAGCGCUCCACCGGGUCGCGGUCUCUGGGAGCGGCUGAGAGAGCCCAGGUCUCUGUGCUGUGGCUCCAGAGCCUUCAGGAUGUUUCACGGGAUCCCAGCCACCCCUGGUAUGGGAGCUCCUGGGAACAAGCCAGAACUGUAUGAGGAAGUGAAGUUGUACAAGAAUGCCCGAGAGCGGGAGAAGUAUGACAACAUGGCAGAGCUGUUUGCAGUGGUGAAGACAAUGCAAGCGCUGGAGAAAGCAUACAUAAAGGACUGCGUCACCCCCAAUGAGUACACUGCGGCAUGCUCCCGUCUCCUGGUCCAGUACAAAGCUGCAUUCAGGCAAGUUCAAGGCUCAGAAAUCAGCUCCAUUGAUGAAUUCUGCCGCAAGUUCCGCCUGGACUGCCCACUGGCCAUGGAGAGGAUUAAAGAGGACCGACCCAUCACCAUCAAGGACGACAAGGGCAACCUCAACCGCUGCAUUGCAGAUGUGGUCUCGCUCUUCAUCACAGUUAUGGACAAGCUACGCCUGGAGAUUCGCGCCAUGGAUGAGAUCCAGCCUGACCUGAGGGAGCUGAUGGAGACCAUGCACCGCAUGAGCCACCUGCCCCCAGAUUUUGAGGGCCGCCAAACAGUGAGCCAAUGGCUGCAGACCCUCAGUGAGCCAAUGGCUGCAGACCCUCAUGUCAGCCUCUGAUGAGCUCGAUGACUCCCAGGUACGCCAGAUGCUCUUCGACCUGGAGUCAGCCUACAACGCCUUCAACCGCUUCCUGCACUCCUGA